rnacentral:lncRNA from 1 species
GAUCUUGGGCUUCCUUCCCCUAGGUUGUACCCACUGCCCAGCAGGAACUGAGCCUGCCGUGGGAUUUGAGUAUAAAUGGUGGAACACAUUGCCCUCCAACAUGGAAACUACUGUUCUCAGUGGGAUCAACUUUGAAUACAAGGGCUUGACAGGCUGGGAGGUGGCUGGUGACCACAUUUAUACGGCUGUUGGAGCCUCAGACAAUGACUUCAUGAUUCUCACUCUGGUUGUGCCAGGAUUUAG